rnacentral:rRNA from 1 species
AACGGUCCUACGGGGUGCAGCAGUCGCGAAAACUCCGCAAUGCACGAAAGUGUGACGGGGCUAUCCCGAGUGCCGUCCGCUGAGGAUGGCUUUUCCUUGGUGUAACUAGCCGGGGGAAUAAGGAGAGGGCAAGACUGGUGUCAGCCGCCGCGGUAAUACCAGCUCUCCGAGUGGUAGGGAUGAUUAUUGGGCUUAAAGCGUCCGUAGCCGGCUUAGCAAGUUUCCUGUUAAAUUCAGCGACUUAAUCGUUGAACCGCGGGAAAUACUACUAGGCUAGGAGGCGGGAGAGGUCGACGGUACUUCUGGGGUAGGGGUGAAAUCCUAUAAUCCCGGGAGGACCACCAGUGGCGAAGGCUGUCGACUAGAACGCGCCCGACGUGAGAUGAGUCACCUGGGGGAGCGAACCGGAUUAGAUACCCGCGUAGUCCAAA